rnacentral:tRNA from 2 species
GCGCCCGUAGCUCAAUUGGAUAGAGCGGCGGACUACGAAUCCGUAGGCUGGGGGUUCGAGUCCCUCCGGGCGCG